rnacentral:lncRNA from 1 species
AACACGAGGAAAUCACGGGGAAGAACGAGAGAGACACUCAAUCGACAAGAGAUCAAUCACACAAGGUCUAGAUCAUCGAAGCACGAGUAACACAUGGUCCAAAAUCAACAAAGGAAAGAUACAAAGGUAGACGUUCUUCUCCGAGAGGAGGUCUUGAAUCCACGAGGGGAUCUUCCUGUAAAGGGGUCUUGAAUCCGAGAGGAUCUUCUCCGAAGAGGCCGCGGUCUCUCGCGAGGAGGAGAUCCGAUGGAUGAGCGAGGCUCUAUCUCAAAAACAAGCUAAAUCAACGCUAAGUCUCAAAGUGAGGAGAUGGGGUCCUCUAUAUAGAGUUGGGGGGCGAAGGGGUACAUGGGCUCAGCCCAACACGCGCGCGCAGGUGCUGGCCGGAUGAUCCGGACGAGGGUCCGGAUGAUCCGGGCUGGUCCGGAUGAUCCGGGUGGAGGCCCGGAUGAGCCGGAUGUCCGGCUGGUUGUUGCGCAGGGCCGGAUGUCCGGCUGGAGGUCCGGAUGUCCGGGCCGAGUCCAGAUGAUCCCGGACGGGGUCCGGAUGAUCCGGCUUCAGGGUGGAGCUUCUGUAGGCUUCGGUCGAUUUAGCCGGAUCGUCCGGACCGGGGUCAGGAUCGUCCGGGCUCUGUCUGGAUCGUUCGGGCCGCCGUCCGGAUCGUCCGGGCCGCCGUCCGGAUCGUCCGGCCACCCUGGUCCUUGGUGCUUUUUCCUCUCCGUCUUCUCGCAUGUCUUCAGCUUCCGCUUCUCCUUGCCUCCUUGCUUCUUCAUGGUUGACUCCUUGGUACCUGAGUAUGCAUAGCGUUUCCGUUUGAGGUAGUAACCAUGUCUCAUGUGAAUCGAAAGGGAAUUGUGAGAGGAGUGAUGUCACCUCGGUUUCAAGAGCUCUUGCACGUGCUCGAGUCAUCGGUCCUUGUGGUGUUGGAGGUGUUGAUGUAGAGUCCAUGGGGAUGAUGGAAGGAUGCUCCGCAUCAUAUCCCCUCCCUUCGAAAGGAUCCGACCUCUGAUCUAGAUCUUCAUCACCAUGGAAAGGCGAGAGGUCUUUGACGUUGAAUGUGUCGCUCACGUUGUACUUGUCGCUUGGUAUGUCGAGCUUGUAGGCGUUGUUGUUGUAGCGUGCAAACACCUUGAAGGGUCCAUCGGCUCGAGGUAGAAGUUUGGACUUGCGUUCAUUGGGGAAGCGUUCCUUGUGAAGGUGUAGCCACACGAGAUCGCCUAUGUUGAAGAUCAUGGGUUGCUUGUUGAUGUUGAGCUUGGUCGCUAGUCGUUGUACUUGGCGCUCGAUGAUGUUUCUUGUAUCUUCAUGCAUCUUCUUGAUGUAGCUUGCACGGGCACUUGCGUCAAGGUUGGUGCGCUCUUGUAGAGGUAGAGGUAGAAUGUCCAAUGGGGACAAUGGGUUGAAGCCGUAGAGGACCUCGAAGGGGGAUUUGCCGGUCGUCGAAUGUCUUGCGCGGUUGUAGGCGUACUCGGAGAUGGGUAGACACGCCUCCCACUCCUUGAUGCUCUUCUUGAUCAACACGUGAAGUAGAGUGGAGAGCGUCCGGUUCGUCACCUCCGUUUGGCCGUCGGUUUGAGGAUGGUAUGCGGAUGAGAACAAGAGCUUGAUUCCGAGCUUGGCACAUAGGGUCUUCCAAAAGUAACUCAAGAACUUGACGUCGCGGUCGGAGACGAUUGUCUUUGGUACUCCAUGGAGGCGCAAGAUUUCCCUACAAAAGAGAUUUGCAAUAUGUGAAGCAUCGUCUACCUUGUUGCAAGGAAUAAAAUGUGCCAUCUUAGAAAAUCUAUCCACAACAACAAACACGGAAUCCUUUCCAUUUUGAGUUCUAGGCAAACCAAGUACAAAGUCCAUGCUAAUGUCUUCCCAAGGUUGAUAUGGAAUUGGAAGAGGCAUGUAAAGACCAUGAGAUUGGGCUUUUGACUUAGCUUUGCGGCAUGUAGAGCAUCGGGUGGUGAAGCGUGAGACGUCUCGAAACAUCUUGGGCCAAAAUUAGUUCUUGGAGAGCGUGGCGAAGGUCUUGUCGCGUCCAAAAUGUCCCAUGAGUCCACCUCCAUGAGCCUCUUGCAGAAGGAGCAAACGAAGAGAAGACUCGGGUAUGCAUAGUUUGUUAGCUCUCAUAAGAUAACCAUCCUUGAGGUAAUAUUGUUCCCAAGAUGUAUGCGUCAAACAUUUAGCAUAAUGAGGUGCAAAAGAUGGAUCACUAGCAUACAAAUCUUUGAUGUGUUCAAAGCCAAUAACAUUCAACUCAAGUUGGGUGACAAGCGUACAUAUGCGAGAAAGUGCAUCGGCAACUACAUUUUCCUUGCCCUUAAUGUACUUGAUCACAUAUGGGAAAGAUUCAAUAAAUUCACUCCAUUUGGCAUGACGCUUGUUCAAUUUAGUUUGACCUUUUAAGUAUUUAAGCGUUUCAUGAUCGGUAUGGAUGACAAACUCAUGAGGUCUAAGAUAAUGUUCCCAAACAUGUAGGACACGCACUAAAGCAUACAAUUCUUUGUCAUAGAUGGGAUAGUUAAGUUGAGCACCGGAGAGUUUUUCACUAAAAUAAGCAAUGGCUCGUUUUUCUUGCAUCAAAACUCCGCCAAUUCCGGUACCACUUGCAUCACAAUGAACCUCAAAAGUUUUGUCAAAAUUGGGCAAAGCAAGAAUCGGAGCGUGAGUAAGCAAAGACUUGAGCUCAUCAAAAGCGUUUGAUUGCAAAGGUCCCCAAACAAAAGGAGUAUUCUUCUUACUCAAAGCAUGCAAAGGAGCUGCAAUAGUGCUAAAGUUUUUCACAAAGCGGCGAUAAAAACCUGCAAGACCAAGGAAACUUCGCACUUGUUGCAAAUUGGUGGGUUGGGGCCAAGUUUUAAUUGCUUUGAUCUUAGUUUCAUCAACAUGGACACCCUUGGAAGAGACAAUGAAACCCAAGAAAACUACUUUGUCAACGCCAAAAGUGCAUUUUUUCAAGUUGGCAUAAAGACUUUCCUUUCGAAGUGUUUGCAAAACAAGCUUAACAUGAUCAAGAUGCUCUUUCAUGGUUUUGCUAAACACAAGAAUAUCAUCGAAGUAAACCACAACAAAGAUUCCAAUGUAUGGUCGAAGUACAUGAUGCAUGAGACGCACAAAAGUUCCGGGUGCUUCCGACAAACCCAUAGGCAUAACCAACCAUUCAUAUAAGCCAAAUUUUGUUUUGAAAGCAGUUUUCCAUUCAUCACCCUCAUGAAUGCGGAUUUGAUAAUAGCCACUUUUUAGAUCAAUUUUUGAGAAAAAGUUGGCUCCACUAAGUUCAUCAAGCAUAUCAUCUAAGCGAGGAAUGGGAUGCCUAUAGCGCACGGUGAUAGCAUUUAUGGGUCUACAAUCGGAACACAAACGAAAGCUUCCAUCGGGCUUAGGCACAAGUAUAACGGGGACGGCACAAGGGCUUAAGCUUUCACGUAAAUGACCGUUGUCGAUUAGUUGUUGUACUUGCUGUUGAAUCUCCUUGGUUUCUUCAGGAUUGACACGGUAUGGAGCUUUGUUUGGAAGUGGCGCUCCGGGAAUGAGGUCGAUUCGAUGCUCAAUGCCUCGUAGAGGAGGUAGACCCGGAGGUAGCUCAUCGGGGAAAACAUCUUGAAAUUCCUGCAAAAGAGAUUGAAACAUCAAAGGUAGUUCGUGAAUGGUGUUAGUUUUUGUAUCUCCAUCCUUGCACACAAGGACAAAGUGCAUCACACUCGAUGGGUUCUCACACACUUCUCUCAUCUCAUGUUUUGUGGCGAAUAGUAUGAGGUUUUUCUCUCUAGGCGAAGAGGCGCUCAAAUUUGGCUUGUGGCUCUCACUCACUUUUUGGUGGCUCACUUUCUCACUCUUCUCUCUUUGGUUGGUGGCUUGUUUGUCGGCUAUCACUUGACUAGGAGACAUGGGUCGUAGGACAUAUUCUUUGCCUUUCAUCUUGAAGCUAUAGUGGUUUGUACGCCCAUUGUGGUAGACACCACGGUCGAAUUGCCAUGGCCGACCAAGGAGGAGGUGGCAAACGGUCAUUGGGACCACAUCACACUCCAAAGUGUCCUCAUAUGCACCUAUUUUGAAGGAUACUUGGACCGUAUGCUCAACUCGUAUAGUGCCGGAGUCACUUAGCCAUUGAACCUUGUAGGGUUGCGGAUGCUUCUUCUUGAUCAAUUGGAGCUUGGAGCAUAGUUCUUCGCUUGCCAAGUUGUGGCAACUACCUCCAUCGAUGAUGACCUUGACGGAUCGUCCAUUGAUGCCGGCCUUUGUGUGGAAGAUGUGGCAUCUUUGGUCUUCUUCUUGUUUAUGUUGAAGUGUCAAGACCUUGGAGACAACAAGAGCGGGGCUUGUAUCUUCAUCACAAAAGACUUGAUCAUCUUCAUCCUCGUUGAUGCGCCGGUGCAUGGCCACUUGCUCAAUAGCUUCCAUUUCAUCUUCACUCAUUGAGUCGUAUGUGCGAUUGUCGUUGAGUAUCAUGGUGCGCUUGUUGGUGCAUUCAUAUGACUUGUGGCCUCGGCCGCCGCAAGUGAAACACUUGAAGGAGCUUGUCUUGACGGUCUCAUCGGUUGGAGUAGAUGAUGAAGCACGCGGCUUGAAGUUGCUUGUAGUAGGAGGAGGACGACUUGAACUUGUGGAAGUUUUCUUGUAACUUGACUUGUCGUCGUUGCUUGGAGAAGGCUUGUUUGAUGUCGAAGUUGGAGUAGUUGUUGAAGCUUGGUUGUUGGAGAAGCCGUAUGUGUUGGAUGAGUACUUGGUGUACUUGAAGUCAUCUUGAACUUGUCGUUCCGCCUUUGUAGCUUGAUGCACAAGCUCAAUGAGGUUGGAGUAGGGUUGGAAGUCGGCGAUCUUCUUGAUGGGAUGGUUGGGUCCAUUCAAGAAUCAUGCCAUUGUUUGCUCAUCAUCCUCCGUGACAUUGGCUCGAAUCAUGGCAAUCUCCAUUUAUUUGUAGUAUUCUUCAACACUCUUUGUUCCUUGCUUGAGGAGUUGUAGCUUCUUGAAGAGAUCACGGUUGUAGUAGGUGGGCACAAAGCGUGCUCGCAUGACAUCCUUCAUUUGAGCCCAAGUGGUGAUUGGAGGAUCGCCUCUUGCUUGUCGGCGCUCAAGUACUUGUUCCCACCAUAUGAGCACAUAGUCUUGGAACUCAAGUGAUGCCAUAGCGAUCUUCUUCUCUUCCUCAUAGUUGUGCAAACGAAAGAUUUUGUCGACCUUCAAUGCCCAUGAGAGGUACUCUUCGGGAUCAUUGCUUCCAUUGGACUUGGGCAUUGUGAACUUGAGCUUGCCAUAGCAUUGCUCUUCAUUGUGUUGUGGUCGAUGGUGAUGAUGAUGCCCUUGUCGUGGAGGGUAAUCAUCCUCAUGUUGCUCUUGGCGAGGAGGAAGUCCAUGAUCAACUUGCUCUUGUUGACCUUGAUGUUGAGGUUGAGCUUGAGGAGCUUGUGGAGGAGCUUUUGGGGCUUGACGUUGCGCACGCGGAUGGUAGUUCCUCUCUUGUAUUUCUUCUCGAAGGGCUUCCUCUUGAUUGCGCCUUUCGCGAUUGCGGUUGGCGAUAGCUCGACUUGAUGCUUGAAGGGCACGUUCCGCCUCAAGAGCUUGUGCUUCUCGUUGUUGUUGUUGAAGACGUUGAGCCUCUGCGUCUUGUUGCUCUUGGUGUAGGCGCGCUCGUUCUUGUUCUUGUUGGUGACGAAGACGUUGUCGUUCUUGAGCUUGAGCAAACGCCACUUGGUUUGAUUGUGGACGAGGAACUUGUUCAUCAACUUGUUCUUGGGAAUGCUUGUCGUGUAGCGGGUUGCGAGAUGCAUGAUGGUCUUGACGCGCGGCUCGUCGAAGAGUGUUCGAUGACGGUGUACUUGUGUCGGAGAAGGAGUCGUCGGAGUGGCGACUUGAGUGGCUCCGUCUUGAGUGUGAGGAAGUAGAAGGACGCCGAUUCACCAACAAGGCGUGGAUCUCGUCCAUUCUUGCAUCGUUCUCUUUCUUGUGCGCGUCGAGUUUGUUGUCGAAGUAGUCUCUUGUACGUUGCUCGGAGAGUCGCAAGUCGGUGGCGAGGUUGUCGAUGCGUUUGCUCAUUGCUUGUUGCUCUUGAUGGAGAGCUCGUUGUGCGCCAAAGAGGUGGCUCUUGGUGACGUAUGAUGACAUGUCGUCGUCUUGCUCGAUGAAGAGUGGAUUUGUAGAAGAACUUGGCCUAUCCAUCAUUUCAAACAAAUUGUGAGUGGUAGAAGGAGAAGAACUAAUACCAAUGUACCUUUGACCGAAGUUGAAGAUGAAUCAAGUUCACUCAAAUGCGGACAAUGAAAUAGCACUAUUGGUACCGAUCCUUGUCGAUUCUCACACCUACACAAGUAAAAGCUUUUGGUGGAGCUUGGUUAGGAUGGUGGCACAAAAUUGAUUGCAAUCGUUAGCUUGACUCAAAAAUGUUGAAGAAGAUUCACAAAUUCGCAUAUGCAACAAGUAGACCAAGCAAGUAGUGGUACACGGAAACACACACGCAAAUAGAUAAAUGGGAUUGUGCAAACCAAAAGUGAGCCAAAAUGUGGAAUCCACGAAAAUGCUCUUGUUGCACAAUACUAGAGAGACGCUAGCACGAUUGCACAAUAGGCGGAUACGGAGCUUGUGCACUACCUACUAGGCAAAAAUGCAACGAUCUCUAUCCCAAGUAUGCUAUAUGUAUGGUAUUUCGGUGCAAUGAUCCAAGAUGAUCUUAUAUGACAAUCUUAAUGUUGUAUGAUGCUAUGCUUGUUGCUUAUAAGCUCUUUGCUUAUCUUUCCUCUUUUCUUAAAAGCUUGAGUGGCUCUUUCUAUUUUGAGCUCUUUUCUUAUGCAAACUUGAAGAACCAAGAUAGCAAUUGUGUAUGCGAUGACAACUUUGUGACACACAAGUUGAUUCCAAGAUAUGCACCACGAUGGUAUGUAUGAUAUGGUGUAUGCAACUAAUGUGCACAAGUCACGUUGCCGGCAAUACUCAAUGGCUAGUCUCGAUGGGUAAGCAACGCAAAAGAUGGUCUAUGAUGGUUAUCAAUGCAAUUGCAAGGUAUGACAAAGAUGUCGUCGAAGUUACCAUCCGUAGCGAAGAUGAGUAGUCGACGAAAAUAAGCGUUUGUAGUUGAUGUCUCACCGCACCUAAAUAGCCGAAACACAAUAGGACACGGAAAUCUCAACUCAAAUUCUCGAACUCAAAUUCGAAUGGUAGUACGGAGGUUGUGUCGUGUGGUUUUGGCAAGUGGAAGUGGUGGUGGUUGGGGUGGGUAGGUGGUAUGUAGGUUUAGGUGGUGGUGGUGGUGGAGGGGGACUGCACAAGUGCAGUUUCGGCAGAGGAAGCCGGAUGAUCCGGGCCAGGAGCCGGAUGAUCCGGGCACGUCCGGAUGAUCCGGGUCGGAGUCCGGAUGAUCCGGGUAGGUCAACCUCGCACGGGAACUGCUCGGGAAGAACACGAAAACGGGGAGAAAUUUGACGAUUUCGGGGAUUUUGGAUGGAUUUCGAGGGGGAGAAGGUGGGGAAAAGCAAGAUCCACGAGUUACACACCGAAUCCACGGAUCAAAAACAACAAAACAUCAUCAAAACCAACAAAUCACAAAAAAAUUUGGGGGGUAUUUUUGUGGGGAUUUUCGGAUUUUAGGACGAAAACAACAAAAUCAAGCUAGAAAACACGGGGUAGGGGCUCCAAAAACAUGAUCAACAUGGCUCAUGAUACCAUAUGAUGUAGGGUGGAACCCUAUAGCAUCGAUCUUUCACGUUUGGAGUGGAUCCUACGGGAGAAACACGAAGAACGCGCGGAAGAACACGAGGAAAUCACGGGGAAGAACGAGAGAGACACUCAAUCGACAAGAGAUCAAUCACACAAGGUCUAGAUCAUCGAAGCACGAGUAACACAUGGUCCAAAAUCAACAAAUGAAAGAUACAAAGGUAGCCGUUCUUCUCCGAGAGGAGGUCUUGAAUCCACGAGGGGAUCUUCCCGUAAAGGGGUCUUGAAUCCGAGAGGAUCUUCUCCGAAGAGGUCGCGGUCUCUCACGAGGAGGAGAUCCGAUGGAUGAGCGAGGCUCUAUCUCAAAAACGAGCUAAAUCAACGCU